rnacentral:rRNA from 1 species
CCUACGGGGGACAGCAGUGAGGAAUAUUGGUCAAUGGACGAGAGUCUGAUCCAGCCAAGCAGCGUGAAGGAUGACUGCCUUCUGGGUUGUAAACUUCUUUUAUAAAGGAAUAAAACGAGGCACGUGUGCCUUUUUGCAUGUACUUUAUGAAUAAGGAUCGGCUAACUCCGGGCCAGCAGCCGCGGUAAUACGGAGGAUCCGACGGUUACCCGGAUUUAUUGGGUUUAAAGGGAGCGUAGAUGGGUUGUUAAGUCAGUUGUGAAAGUUUGCGGCUCAACCGUAAGAUUGCAAUGGAUACUGGCAGUCUUGAGUAGAGUUGAGGUAGGCGGAAUUCGUGGUGUAGCGGUGAAAUGCUUAGAUAUCACGAAGAACCCCGAUGGCGAAGGCAGCUUACUAAACUGUGACUGACAUUGAUGCUCGAAAGUGUGGGUAGCAAACAGGAUUAGAUACCCCAGUAGUC